rnacentral:rRNA from 1 species
GAUGAACGCUGGCGGAGUGCCUAACACAUGCAAGUCGAGCGGCAGCGCGAGUAGUUUACUACUUGGCGGCGAGCGGCGGACGGCUGAGUAACGCGUGGGAACAUGCCCCAAAGUGAGGAAUAACUGCCCGAAAGGGUAGCUAAUGCCGCAUACGAUCUUCGGAUUAAAAGGAUUUAUCCGCUUUUGGGAGUGGCCUGCGUACGAUUAGAUAGUUGGUGAGGUAAUGGCUCACCAAGUCUACGAUCGUUAACUGGUUUGAGAGGAUGAUCAGUCAGACUGGAACUGAGACACGGUCCAGACUCCUACGGGAGGCAGCAGUGAGGAAUCUUCCACAAUGGACGAAAGUCUGAUGGAGCAACUCCGCGUGCAGGAUGAAGGCCUUCGGUCGUAAACUGCUUUAUGAGUGAAGAAUAUGACGGUAACUCAUGAAUAAGGGUCGGCUAACUACGUGCCAGCAGCCGCGGUAAU